rnacentral:rRNA from 1 species
UACCAGCACCCCGAGUGGUCGGGACGUUUAUUGGGCCUAAAGCAUCCGUAGCCGGUUCUACAAGUCUUCCGUUAAAUCCAACUGCUUAACAGGUGGGCUGCGGAAGAUACUAUAGAGCUAGGAGGCGGGAGAGGCAAGCGGUACUCGAUGGGUAGGGGUAAAAUCCGUUGAUCCAUUGAAGACCACCAGUGGCGAAGGCGGCAUGCCAGAACGCGCUCGACGGUGAGGGAUGAAAGCUGGGGGAGCAAACCGG